UGCUUCCCAUAACAAUAACGCCCUUAAAUGAGAGAGAGAGAGAUGUUACGAGCGAGGGACAGAGAGAGACAGUUAAUUAUAAUCUUACUUGCUGUGGAAAUGAGUCUGAUCCAGUAGUUAGUAGAGUAGUCUGAUCCAGGUGUGUUUUAGACCAGUAGUUAGUAGUCUGAUCCAGGUGGGUUUUAGACCAGUAGUUAGUAGAGUAGUCUGAUCCUGGUGUGUUUUAGACCGGUAGUUAGUAGAGUAGUCUGAUCCAGGUGUGUUUUAGACCAGUACUUAGUAGAGUAGUCUGAUCCAGGUGUGUUUUAGACCAGUAGUUAGUAGUCUGAUCCAGGUGUGUUUUAGACCGGUAGUUAGUAGAGUAGUCUGAUCCUGGUGUGUUUUAGACCGGUAGUUAGUAGAGUAGUCUGAUCCAGGUGUGUUUUAGACCAGUAGUUAGUAGAGUAGUCUGAUCCUGGUGUGUUUUAGACCGGUAGUUAGUAGUCUGAUCCAGGUGUGUUUUAGACCAGUACUUAGUAGUCUGAUCCAGGUGUGUUUUAGAUCAGUAGUUAGUAGAGUAGUCUGAUCCAGGUGUGUUUUAGACCAGUACUUAGUAGUCUGAUCCAGGUGUGUUUUAGAUCAGUAGUUAGUAGAGUAGUCUGAUCCAGGUGUGUUUUAGA
ensembl:lncRNA